UACAGAGGUGGCAAGCGUUGUUCGGAAUUACUGGGCGUAAAGGGCGCGUAGGCGGCUUGGUCAGUCCCGUGUGAAAUCCCUCGGCUCAACUGAGGAACUGCACGGGAAACUGCCUGGCUUGAGUUCGGGAGAGGGAAGCGGAAUUCCGGGUGUAGCGGUGAAAUUCGUAGAUAUCGGGAGGAACACCGGUGGCGAAGGCGGCGACCUGGGUUGACAUUGACGCUGAGGCGCGAAAGCGUGGGGAGCAAACAGG
rnacentral:rRNA from 1 species